rnacentral:rRNA from 1 species
AGCGAACGCUGGCGGCAGGCUUAACACAUGCAAGUCGAGCGGGCAUCCGUGAGGUGUCCGCGGCUGACGGGUGAGUAACGCGUGGGAACGUGCCCUUCGGUUCGGAAUAACUCAGGGAAACUUAAGCUAAUACCGGAUACGUGCGAGAGCAGAACGGUUUAUAUGCCGAAGGACAGGAGCGCGACUGAUUCGUUAGUUGGUGAGGAUAUGGCUCACCAAGGCGUCGGCCAGUAGCUGGUGUGAGAGGCUGAUCAGGCACCCUGGGAGUGAGACCCGGCACAGACUCCUACGGGAGGGAGGAGUGGGGGAUAGUGGACAAUGGCGGCAACCAUGAUCCUGCCCUGCCGCGUGAGUGAUGACGGCCUUAGGGUUGUAAAGCUCUUUUCUCCGGGACGAUAAUGACGGUACCGGAGGAAUAAGCCCCGGCUAACUUCGUG